rnacentral:rRNA from 1 species
AGUAAAAGUCGUAACAAGGUCUCCGUAGGUGAACCUGCGGAGGGAUCAUUACCGAGUGAAGGGCGCUCCGGCGUCCGAUCUCCCAACCCUUUGAUUUAUCGACCCCAUUCUGCCUCGGGGGCGACCCGGCCCUCGUGGCCGUUGGUCCCCCCGGUGGCGACCUACAACCCUGCAUCAAUUGUCGUCUGAUAUUGAUAUUAAAUUCAAUUAAAACUUUCAACAACGGAUCUCUUGGUUCUGGCAUCGAUGAAGAACGCAGCGAAAUGCGAUAAGUAAUGUGAAUUGCAGAAUUCAGUGAAUCAUCGAAUCUUUGAACGCACAUUGCGCCCCCUGGCAUUCCGGGGGGCAUGCCUGUUCGAGCGUCAUUACACCAAUCAAGCCUGGCUUGGUAUUGGGCGACGGGGCCGUCACACGCCCCGCGCCCCAACGACCCCCCGGCGGGACGGACUGUAUCUCAGCGUUGUGCAAAUGUCGCUGGCGACUUACGGGACGGCCGUGCCGUGAAAACACCCCAUUUUCUCAGGUUGACCUCGGAUCAGGUAGGGAUACCCGCUGAACUUAAGCAUAUCAAUAAGCGGAGGA